AAUAGGCUGUAAGAAAGGAAGCACAUAUGCGGGAUGAUUGGUGAUGGCGUGAAUGAUGCACCAGCUUUAAAGAAGGCAGACAUUGAAAUUGAUGUAGCUGAUGCAACUGAUGCUGCCCGAGGCACAUACUCACCACACGAGGGUUAAGUGUGAUUGUCAGAUUUGUCUUAACAAGCAGAGCAAUCUUCGAGAGAAUGAAAAGCUACACCAUUCAUGCAGUCUCAAUGGCAAGUCCUUGGUACCUUCUUGGCUGUCGUGACUGUUAUUUUCUUUCGGGCUGCACAUAAAAUGAACUUUUUCUUGGUAAGCUUAUACGCUAGAUCAGAAAUAUAAUUAUCAAAGGAGUCCAGGGAGGAUGCUUCCUUUCGGACUGCAUACGUAAAUUACUUGCAGCUUGGCCUUUCUCCUUUGUGAUCAAAGUUUUAACUCGAUACCUGACUUCACAGGACAAAUUUGGAGUGAGGUCAAUUAGGACAAUCCCCAUGAGCUUUUUCUACCUCCAGGUUUGUAUUAGGAGCCAUACACUCAUUUAUUAUUGGAUCUCGCAGCUGGUCAUUGAACGCCCAGGUCCCUAGCUUAUGUCAGCCUUCAUUGUUACAUAGCAAAGCUGGUGAGGAAUGAAAACGUGAUGGUGAUGUUGAAGAGUAAUAGGUUCAUGACUCAUUGAUGUAAAUUAUGCUUAUCAGAUUGCGACUCUCCUGACCGUGUAUGCAAAUUGGGUUUCGCAAGGAUGCAUGGCAUCGACUAGGAUGGUCUAGUGUCAUCUGGCUGUGGAGUAUUAUGUUGUAUAUUCCUUUAGAUAUUCUCAAGUUCACAAUUCAGUACGCACUGAGAUGAGGUUCCGGAUUGUGAACUUGAGAAUAUGUAAGGAAUAUACGACAUAACACUCCACAGCCAUAUGACACCAGCCCAUCCCAGCCCCGAUGCCAUGCAUCCUUGCGAAACCCCAAUUUGCAUACACGGUCAGGAGAGUCACAAUCUGAUAAACACAAUUUAGAUCGAUGAGUCAUGAACCCGUUACUCUUCAACAUCACCAUCACGUUUUCAUUCCUCACCAGCUGUGUAACGAUGAAGACUGACAUAAGCUGGAGACAUCGGCGUUCAACAUAUGACGAGAUUGAAUAACAAAGAUGAGUGCCUGCUCCCAAUACUCACUUGGAGGUAGACAAAUGCUGUAAGCCUGUGGAAUUGUUCCUAAUUGACCUCACUCCAAAUUUGUGCUGUGAAGUCAGGUAUGAGUUAAAACUUCGAUCACAAAGCAAAAAAAACCAAACUACAAGUAAUUUACAUAUGCAGUCCCGAAAGGAAGCAUCCCUUCCCUAGACUCUUUUGAUAAUUAUAUUUCUGAUUAGCGUAUAAGCUUACCGAGAAGAAGUUUGUUUUAUGUGCAGCCAAAAGAAAACAACAGUUGUGAUAGCGAAGUAGGUUCCAAGGACAACGCCAUAGCCAAAAUCUCCCUGAACUUCCAGGAGUUAGGCAUGGGAGAUGGCAAUGGCUGUGAUAGUUGGGAAGAGUGGACUGGUGUCAUUUGGCUGUGGAGUAUUAUGUCGCAUAUUCCUUUAGAUAUUCUCAAGUUAACAAUCCGGUACGCACUGAGCGAGAGGGCUUGGGACAUUGCAGCACAAGAUGAGCUACCUCUUCAUUAGGCUUUUCACUUAUGAGAAGGAAGUUGGCAAACAUGGACUGUUUACACAGAGUUGCAUACUGUUUGCGUCUAUUGCAGUCUGUUAUUUGUAUUGUGCUUAUCAUUGCAAACAAUUUCCCUUGCAGAUGGCCUUAAGUAUGAAGAAAGGGUAAGAAAGAGGAGAUGGACAGGCUCAAUGCGCAAGGGAGCAACGCGUCCAACGCAGACUCCCGCCACUUGAAACAGGACAACAACACUUACCCUGAGCUGUCCGCAAUUGCAGAACAGGCUAGGAAAUGUGCUGGGGUUGCAAGGUUUAAACAGCUUCAUACCCUCAAGGGACGUGUUAAAUCAGUGGUCAAACUUAAGGGGCUCGACAUCGUGACAAUUCAACAGCACUACAUUAUUUGAUUGAGGCUGGCAAAGUUUUAGCUGAUGACUGAAUUUUUUUUUUAAAUAGGAAUUGGUCAUAGAGAUGGAAACAGGAACCAUAUGGAUUGUGCUAUUUCCAUUCUGUUUUUCAUUAGAUGCCAUUGAGGAAUAGUAAUACAUCAAGAAAUUGCAUCAGGGUGGAACAACUGAGAGAAAUAUGAUGUUCUUUCAGUAUGGAGUGCCAAUAUAUUCUUCUCUA